CUUCGAUCUCUUUUAAUUCUCUUCUCAAGAGAAUCAAAGAGAUUCAUAGGAGGAUCAAGAAAUUAGAUUUAAUUAGAUUUAUUUUUUCUUUCUCUUCUCAAGAGAAAGAAGAAGAUCUAAAGAAAAGAAGAAUAAGAGAUCCCAUUUCUUUUCUUUUGUUUUUUCAUCUAACUCUUAGACUGAUCAUGGAGGAGAAAUCAUAUCCAACACUUGGACAUCUAUAGAGGAGAAGACAUAUCCAACUCUUGGACAUCUAUGGAGGAGAAGGAAGAGAAAAAACUAUGUCCAACUCUUGGACAAAGAGGGAG
rnacentral:lncRNA from 1 species